ACUACGAGGGGCAGCAGUGAGGAAUAUUGGUCAAUGGGCGCGAGUCUGAACCAGCCAAGUAGCUUGAAGGAUGACUGCCCUACGGGUUGUAAACUUCUUUUAUAAAGGAAUAAAAUGAGGCACGUGUGCCUUUUUGUAUGUACUUUAUGAAUAAGGAUCGGCUAACUCCGUGCCAGCAGCCGCGUUAAUACGGAGGAUCCGAGCGUUAUCCGGAUUUAGUGGGUUUAAAGGGAGCGUAGAUGGGUUGUUAAGUCAGUUGUGAAAGUUUGCGGCUCAACCGUAAAAUUGCAAUUGAUACUGGCAGUCUUGAGUACAGUUGAGGUAGGCGGAAUUCGUGGUGUAGCGGUGAAAUGCUUAGAUAUCACGAAGAACCCCGAUUGCGAAGGCAGCUUACUAAACUGCCACUGACAUUGAUGCUCGAAAGUGUGGGUAUCAAACAGGAUUAGAUACCCGAGUAGUC
rnacentral:rRNA from 1 species